GCUGCGCCUCAGCGCAGAAGAGGUACCAGAGCUACUCCUGGGCCACGGUCACAGCCACCAUGCAGGGGAGGACCCAGGAGCUGUGUCUGCUGCUUCUGUUGGGGUUGGGGUCCCAGGGCACCCUGCCCCCACCCUGUGACAGAGAUGCUGGGCCCGAGGCAGCAGCCACACGUGGCCGAAGCAGGGAUGGUUCCUAGCCAGAUUUACUGCCAUGGGGAGCUCUUGCACCAAGUGCAGAUGGCCAGACUCUACCGGGAUGACAAGCAGUUUGUGGACAUGCCACUGUCCUCAGCUCCAGACCAGGUUCUGCAGGACUUCUGUGAGCUGGCGGCCGCCCACAAGCACCACAUUCCCCCACAGCAGCUGCAGGCAUUCAUCCAAAAGCACUUCCAGGCCGCGGGGCAGGAGCUGCUGUCCUGGACUCCUGAGGACUGGAAGGACAGCCCCCGGUUGCUGCAGAAGAUCUCGGACCCCAAGCUGAGAGCCUGGGCAGGGCAGCUCCACCAGCUCUGGAAGAAACUGGGAAAGAAGGUGAAGCCAGAGGUCCUCAGCCACCCAGAGCAGUUCUCUCUCAUCUACUCGGCCCACCCCUUCAUCGUGCCUGGUGGACGCUUCGUCGAAUUCUACUACUGGGACUCCUACUGGGUGAUGGAGGGGCUGUUCCUGUCUGAGAUGCCCCAGACGGUGAAGGGCAUGCUGCAGAACUUCCUGGACCUGGUGCGGCUCUAUGGACAUGUCCCCAACGGGGCCCGCGUGUACUACCUGCAGCGGAGCCAGCCUCCCCUCCUGACUCUCAUGAUGGACCGCUACGUGACCUACACCAACGACACCGCCUUCCUCAGGGACAACAUAGAGACCCUAGCCUUGGAACUGGACUUCUGGAUGGAGAACAGGACCAUCUCUGUGAGCUCGGGGGGCCAGAGCUACGUCCUGAACCACUAUGCUGUGCCUUACGGGGGCCCCAGGCCAGAGGCCUACAGCAAGGAUUUUGAGCUGGCCGACACGUUGCCAGAAGAGGACCGGGUGGCUCUGUGGGCUGAGCUCAAGGCCGGGGCUGAGUCUGGCUGGGACUUCUCUUCACGGUGGCUCGUCGGAGGCCCAAACUCUACAUCGCUCAGCAGCAUCCGGACCAGCAAAUUCGUGCCUGUUGACCUCAAUGCCUUCCUGUGCCAGGCAGAGGCGCUAAUGAGCAACUUCUACAGCAGGCUGGGGAAUGACAUCCAAGCCACAAAGUACAGAAAUCUGAAGCAACAGCGCUUGGCUGCCAUGAGAGCCAUCCUGUGGGAUGAAGAGAAAGGGGCCUGGUUUGACUAUGACCUUGAGAAUGGAAAGAAGAACCUAGAGUUUUACCCAUCCAACCUCACUCCUCUCUGGUCUGGCUGUUUUUCUGACCCGGACGCCGUGGACAAGGCUCUGAAGUAUCUGGAGGACAGCCAGAUCUUGACCUACCAGUACGGGAUCCCGACCUCUCUCCAGAAGACAGGCCAGCAGUGGGACUUCCCCAAUGCCUGGGCACCCUUGCAGGACCUGGUCAUCAGAGGUCUGGCCAAGUCUCCUUCACCUCGGGCCCAGGAAGUGGCUUUCCAGCUGGCUCAGAAUUGGAUCCGAACCAACUUUGAGGUCUACUCCCAAAAAUCAGCCAUGUUUGAGAAGUAUGACAUCAGCAACGGUGGGCAGCCAGGUGGAGGAGGGGAGUAUGAAGUUCAGGAGGGCUUUGGCUGGACCAAUGGAGUGGUCCUGAUGCUCCUGGACCGCUACGGUGACCGGCUGACCUCGGGGACCCAGACAGCUUUCCUGGAGCCCCACUGCCUCACAGCUGCCCUCCUGCUCAGCCUCCUGCCACGGUGAUGGGCCUCCCUGCCCCGUCUGCCUCAUUAAACUUCUGUGUGAGUCCCUACCUUCUCUUGCUUCUUCUUCCCCCACCCCCAGCCAGUCCUUGGAGUGGGGUCAGAGUAGGGACCUAGAAGUCAUGUGUUGGGCCCUUGUGCCUCCUGGAACAUCAAUGAGGACGAAAUCCUGUUUUGUGGGGACACUUGGUCCUCCUCCCCUUGUAUCCCACCCCCAUCCCCCACACAGCCUGGCUCCCAAACACAUAGUCCAAAUGGUUUAUUAUUCUGUUGAGAUGCUUACAAAUACUGAUCAUCACCCAGCCCGGGGCCCAGCAGCGAUGGCCCAGUGGUGGGCAGGGAGGUGGGCUUAGUGUUAAGGCGUGAAGGGCCAAGGCCAGAUAGCUGGUGGCCUGGUCCUCUGCUCUCCAUCUGUCACCCUUCCGAGGCUGAAGGGAGGGCAGCCAGACCGCAGGGUCCUCUCACUCUGCCGCCUCCUCUCUUGCUCAGGUUCCCCUUGGGGAUGUCUGAGCAGCCCUUCAGCCCUAUUAGGAACUCAGCCUGUGCAACCCAUCUAGCCGCCUCUCCCAUCUGCUUCCCUCCUCCUCCAGUCUCUGGAUGUCCGAGCUUCGUCCCUUCUGGCUCUAAGCAAGGCACGAGUGGAAGGGAGAGGGCUGAACUGGGGGGCCGGCAGGCUGCGCACCGGGGCCCGGAGCCACAGGCAGGGGACAGCCGGGGCGGGGGUUGGUCCCUCCCCCCGCCCCAGCAUGAGAUGCACAAGGUCCUGGGCUGGAGAGAUGGCAGUACGUACCCUCAACCAUGGGCCCACGGUUGAAGCAUGGGCAGAGCCACAGAGCCGGGGCCAUGAGUAUGUAUAGAACCAUGGCGACGAAGCAGUCACUAUGGAGAUCAGGGUUUGGGGUCUGCAAAAAGGGGCUGGGGUUGGGACCUCAAGGAUGACACUUAAGGUCUCUGGCCCUUGAACAAAUUAAUAACAAAAAUGCAGGAGAGCAGGGUAGAGCGGGGUUUGAGAAGUACACCGCCUGAGCUGUUACCCCACUCCAGAUGUGGCUGUCCUCAGCCCCCAAGGCCCCUGCAAAGGGCAGGGGGGCGCGGAGGCAAGGAGGGAUUCUUUGGCAGAUUCUGGUACCAUAAUUUGUCCUUUGCGAAAGAGAACUUAGGUUAGGGGAGCGCAGGUGCCAGGUCAAAGCUAGGCCCACUCUGCCAGCUGCUCAGCCCUGGCAGCCCUGGGGCCGGACCAUGAAGGGUUCUUGCCAGUUCUGAGUCCCCAGUAGCCUCCCCACUUAUCUGCUGGCUUGUUCUUCAGGGGCCCUGAGCGCGGACAUUCACAGGACCAGCUCCUUACAGAAAGGUACAAAGUCUUGUACAAGAGCCCUCCCAGGGCCUCUGGGAGCACUGCUGCGUGGCCUGGGGCCCAGAGUGUGACUCUGUUCCCCCCGGGGCAGUGCAGCAGGCCCACGCCGGGACCAGUAUGGUCAGUUCAUGAACUGUGUGUAGCCCUCGGCUCCGGUGACGAUGACAUCCAUCCAGAUGCGCAUGGCCUCCGCUGACGGUGCCACCAUGUAGUAGAGCCGGUCAUGGGUCUUCACACAGAAGAAAACAGGGCCGGGCUGAGGAGGGCUGAGGAGGCCUGCCGUCCCUCAGGAGAGGCGCCCGCACUGGAAACGGGCAGGUUCCCAGGACUCCAAAACGGAGCCCAGCGUGCAGCCCGAAGUGAUGGUCGGCGCCCAGCCUUGCUCGGAAUUAGAGAACGCAAUUACAGCUGCACACCCAUCAGAAGGGCAAAAAUAGGUGGAAAAGCGACAGCACGCUUUGGGCAAGGCUGGAGAAACAGCUGGUCUGACCGACGACAGGCGUGCACAGCGUCAGCCCUUCAGGAGGAUGGGCCGGGUCUACUGGAAUGAGGAAAGUGUUUGCCCCCUGAGCCAACGAUCCCACUUACAAUUACCGCAACCAACAGACUUACGGGACUGUUCGCCACAGCCGUGUUCGCAGUUUGGAAACAAACCAAGGGUUCAUCAAGUAGAGAUUGGUUAAUAAAUCAGAGUUUAGCACGUGA